rnacentral:rRNA from 1 species
UACGGGGGGGGCAAGCGUUGUUCGGAAUUACUGGGCGUAAAGGGCGCGUAGGCGGGAUGGCAAGUCGGUCGUGAAAUCCCUCGGCUCAACCGAGGAACGUCGAUCGAUACUGCUGUUCUUGAGGAUUGCAGAGGAGACUGGAAUUCCCGGUGUAGCGGUGAAAUGUGUAGAGAUCGGGAGGAACACCGGUGGCGAAGGCGGGUCUCUGGGCAAUUCCUGACGCUGAGGCGCGAAAGCGUGGGGAGCAAACGGG